GACGAACGCUGGCGGCGUGCUUAACACAUGCAAGUCGAACGGAAAGGCCCUGCUUUUGUGGGGUGCUCGAGUGGCUAACGGGUGAGUAACACGUGAGUAACCUGCCCUUGACUUUGGGAUAACUUCAGGAAACUGGGGCUAAUACCGGAUAGGAGCUCCUGCUGCAUGGUGGGGGUUGGAAAGUUUCGGCGGUUGGGGAUGGACUCGCGGCUUAUCAGCUUGUUGGUGGGGUAGUGGCUUACCAAGGCUUUGACGGGUAGCCGGCCUGAGAGGGUGACCGGGCACAUUGGGACUGAGAUACGGCCGAGAAUCCUACGGGAGGCAGAAGUGGGGAAUAUGGCAAAAAGGGCGGGAGCCUGAUGCAGCAAAGCCGCGUGCGGGAUGACGGCCUUCGGGUUGUAAACCGCUUUCGCCUGUGACGAAGAGUGAGUGACGGUAAUGGGUAAAGAAGCACAGGCUAACUACGUG
rnacentral:rRNA from 1 species